AUUGAACGCUGGCGGCAUGCCUAACACAUGCAAGUCGAACGGCAACAUGGUCUAGCUUGCUAGACUGAUGGCGAGUGGCGAACGGGUGAGUAAUGCGCAGGAAUAUGCCUUGAAGAGUGGGACAACUUAGGGAAACUUAAGCUAAUACCGCAUAAGCUCUGAGGAGGGAAGCUGGGGACCUUCGGGCCUGGCGCUUCAAGAAUAGCCUGCGUCCGAUUAGCUAGUUGGUAGGGUAAGAGCCUACCAAGGCGACGAUCGGUAGCUGGUCUGAGAGGAUGAUCAGCCACACUGGAACUGAGACACGGUCCAGACUCCUACGGGAGGCAGCAGUGGGGAAUAUUGGACAAUGGGGGGAACCCUGAUCCAGCAAUGCCGCGUGUGUGAAGAAGGCCUUAGGGUUGUAAAGCACUUUCAGUGGGGAGGAGGAUUGACAGGUUAAGAGCUAGUUGAUUGGACGUUACCCACAGAAGAAGCACCGGCUAACUCCGUGCCAGCCGCCGCAGUAA
rnacentral:rRNA from 1 species